rnacentral:tRNA from 1 species
UGCUUGGGUAGCUCAGUUGGUAGAGCCUUUGCCCGUGAAAGGCAAAGGUCCCGAGUUCGAAUCUCGGUCUGGCAC